CAGAAUCAAUUAAGCAGGGAAGGGAAGGGAUCUCUGGGAAGACUGCGGGUUCGGAGAGGCCUUGAGCCCGAGCUUUGGACACCGUGGAGGUGGGAUAUCCAGUAGAUAUGAAUAAACGGGUUGAGGAGGAUGAAAGCUGUUCGGCAGAUAAAGCCAUAGCAGCCUGUCGGAAUCCUGCCACGCUGGUCCUGAUUUAUGGCCAUCUCAGUCGGACUCCCUACCAAAUCCACCCGCUGCCUUUCUUGUUCAGUGGAGAUGCCUAUGCUUGAGCUGAUAGGAUGUGGUCUGGUUCGUCACACUGAACCUGAGGACACAGCUGAUGCCUCCGAGUAGCACUCUGAUGUUCCCAGUUCCUCAUCUCUCACACAGCAUUAAAAAGUCUGGAUAAAAGUGACCCUAGAUGCCACACACAGUCACAGCGGCUCUGAAGCACCCCGCUGAGAGCUCAGAUGUCAGAGGUCGGCCUUCACCAUCAUAACCUCUACAGAAGUGUCUUCCGGUCUUUCACAGCUCUGACCUCAGUGUACUGGACCCCGCAGAUGCAUGUGACCUUCCCAUGAAGUGCAUUUGGAGAAGUCACACCGUGCUGCCACCAGUUCGGUUCUUGGAAAGCACGCCUCAAAAUUCAAUCACACACGAGCACCAUCCAGGCACCCAACUCCACCCCCUUGUUGACUUGAUUAAGAUCUUCGUCUGACUCACAAACUCAUCCUAAAUUACCAUCCAUCCAAACCACCUUAAGUAACUAGAUGUCCAUCCAACGGCUUUUGCCAGGAACAUUUUGAUUCUUACACUAGAUUCAGCAGUCUUUCGAGUUGCAUGCACAUGAUAACUUGCAGAUCAGAUGUCUUGCUUUGCUUAGAAGUAGUCACAUUGAUCCAUCUGGAUCUGGUUCGGCUCCUGGCAGUAACCUCCAGACCUCAUUCCAACAUGCCAGUAGUUUUCACCUUUCAGUGUCAGUGCAGAGUCGGUAGCCCUGGCAGGUCUUCGAGAGCCGGGUGUCAGGACUCUAUUGAGAUGUCGAAGGUGGGGGUCCGGUGACCCGAGCAGGGAGUCUUUCACGGGGAAGGUCAUCAGUCAAUGUUCCUGUCAGACGGAGAUCACACGGAUGUCUGCGGCCCUCCGUAGUAAUUACACUUGACUGGGGAUGAGGAGAUGUCUUCUUCUUUGGGCCUACAAUGACUGCAUAAUUUAUAAUCAACGGCAAUCAGGCAAACGUGACAUUGAGGGGAAAGCAAAUGAACACUUUUGCUUGAAUCUCCUGAUGUUUCUCUUGAUGAAAAUUCGGAGUUUCAGAAGAGAUCUCAGCAGACUGUGCACAUAUUUCCAAAGUCUGCGACCAAAGAGGAAUCACCAUGCCUCCCAAUUAACCCAUCGACUGACAGGAGGACGACAAUUUUGCCACUGCUGCCGCCUCCUGUUUUCAUGGUCUCUUCAGCUGUACAAGAAUCUCACGGUGGGGAGAUUUCAGUCAUCACAUCACGUUUGUGCUGAGGUGUGUGGCGUCUCACAUGCAAUUGGCUGCAGCUCCCAUCGGCGACUGCAGCCUCUCUUCAUCCCUUCAUGGAGCUUUGCACGGG
ensembl:lncRNA